ACUAGGCAAAAUGGUGCCGUAACUUCGGGAGAAGGCACGCUGAUAUGUAGGUGAAGCGACUUGCUCGUGGAGCUGAAAUCAGUCGAAGAUACCAGCUGGCUGCAACUGUUUAUUAAAAACACAGCACUGUGCAAACACGAAAGUGGACGUAUACGGUGUGACGCCUGCCCGGUGCCGGAAGGUUAAUUGAUGGGGUUAGCGGUAACGCGAAGCUCUUGAUCGAAGCCCCGGUAAACGGCGGCCGUAACUAUAACGGUCCUAAGGUAGCGAAAUUCCUUGUCGGGUAAGUUCCGACCUGCACGAAUGGCGUAAUGAUGGCCAGGCUGUCUCCACCCGAGACUCAGUGAAAUUGAACUCGCUGUGAAGAUGCAGUGUACCCGCGGCAAGACGGAAAGACCCCGUGAACCUUUACUAUAGCUUGACACUGAACAUUGAGCCUUGAUGUGUAGGAUAGGUGGGAGGCUUUGAAGUGUGGACGCCAGUCUGCAUGGAGCCGACCUUGAAAUACCACCCUUUAAUGUUUGAUGUUCUAACGUUGGCCCGUAAUCCGGGUUGCGGACAGUGUCUGGUGGGUAGUUUGACUGGGGCGGUCUCCUCCUAAAGAGUAACGGAGGAGCACGAAGGUUGGCUAAUCCUGGUCGGACAUCAGGAGGUUAGUGCAAUGGCAUAAGCCAGCUUGACUGCGAGCGUGACGGCGCGAGCAGGUGCGAAAGCAGGUCAUAGUGAUCCGGUGGUUCUGAAUGGAAGGGCCAUCGCUCAACGGAUAAAAGGUACUCCGGGGAUAACAGGCUGAUACCGCCCAAGAGUUCAUAUCGACGGCGGUGUUUGGCACCUCGAUGUCGGCUCAUCACAUCCUGGGGCUGAAGUAGGUCCCAAGGGUAUGGCUGUUCGCCAUUUAAAGUGGUACGCGAGCUGGGUUUAGAACGUCGUGAGACAGUUCGGUCCCUAUCUGCCGUGGGCGCUGGAGAACUGAGGGGGGCUGCUCCUAGUACGAGAGGACCGGAGUGGACGCAUCACUGGUGUUCGGGUUGUCAUGCCAAUGGCACUGCCCGGUAGCUAAAUGCGGAAGAGAUAAGUGCUGAAAGCAUCUAAGCACGAAACUUGCCCCGAGAUGAGUUCUCCCUGAGACUUUAAGUCUCCUGAAGGAACGUUGAAGACGACGACGUUGAUAGGCCGGGUGUGUAAGCGCAGCGAUGCGUUGAGCUAACCGGUACUAAUGAACCGUGAGGCUUAACCUU
rnacentral:rRNA from 1 species